UCUGGGUUUGGCCGCUGUGUCAGCAUCGCUCUUGAUUUUUAAAGGUAACAUUUUCAUCUCUGGAGAUGAUUCAUAGUUUACAAGUGUAGCCUAUAACUGAAAUAGAAAUGUUGCUUGUUUCCUUUUCAGGUUCACCUUCAGGAAGAAUUCCUCUAUUUUUCAGCCAUGAAACGGCUAAUCCUCGUUCUGUGCAUCAUCGCUGUAGGCUAUACCUCUCCUGUCUCUGAGGAGGAGAAUGACCGAGUCAAACGCUCAAGCUCGAACAGUUAUGAGAGGUACCGCUUCCAGAGGUAUAUGCCAUAUGGACCAAUGGUACGGCCAUUCAUGCCCCAACCUGUGCCCCCGCCUAUGUUUCCUCCUCAGGCUCCAUC